GGUGUUUGGAAUGGAGGCUGUUCCAAGAUCCAUUAGUUUCUUAAUUCCAUGCAUGUAAAAUUAAUGCAAAUUAACUACUAAUGAUCUCGGACCAGGCUUCAUUCCUCACC
rnacentral:pre_miRNA from 1 species